UACGUAGGGUGCGAGCGUUGUCCGGAAUUAUUGGGCGUAAAGAGCUCGUAGGCGGUUUGUUGCGUCUAUCGUGAAAACCCGCGGCUCAACCGUGUGGUCUGCAGUCGAUACGGGCAGGCUAGAGUUCGGUAGGGGAGACGUGGAAUUCCACGUGUAGCAGUGAAAUGCGUAGAGAUGUGGAGGAAUACCGAUGGCGAAGGCAGCCCCCUGGGCCAAUACUGACGCUCAUGCACGAAAGCGUGGGGAGCAAAACAGG
rnacentral:rRNA from 1 species